GAAGAAUUCAGAGAUGGAUUUGUGCCUUCGGGAACCGUGAGACAGGUGCUGCAUGGCUGUCGUCAGCUCGUGUUGUGAAAUGUUGGGUUAAGUCCCGCAACGAGCGCAACCCUUAUCCUUUGUUGCCAGCGGUCAGGCCGGGAACUCAAAGGAGACUGCCAGUGAUAAACUGGAGGAAGGUGGGGAUGACGUCAAGUCAUCAUGGCCCUUACGACCAGGGCUACACACGUGCUACAAUGGCGCAUACAAAGAGAAGCGACCUCGCGAGAGCAAGCGGACCUCAUAAAGUGCGUCGUAGUCCGGAUUGGAGUCUGCAACUCGACUCCAUGAAGUCGGAAUCGCUAGUAAUCGUGGAUCAGAAUGCCACGGUGAAUACGUUCCCGGGCCUUGUACACACCGCCCGUCACACCAUGGGAGUGGGUUGCAAAAGAAGUAGGUAGCUUAACCUUCGGGAGGGCGCUUACCACUUUGUGAUUCAUGACUGGGGUGAAGUCGUAACAAGGUAACCGUAGGGGAACCUGCGGUUGGAUCACCUCCUUA
rnacentral:rRNA from 1 species